rnacentral:rRNA from 1 species
UACGGAGGAUGCGAGCGUUAUCCGGACUUAUUGGGUUUAAAGGGUGCGUAGGCGGAAUGGUAAGUCAGCGGUGAAAUACUACAGCUCAACUGUAGGGAUGCCGAUGAUACUGUCAUUCUUGAGUAUACUUGAGGCAUGCGGAAUGAGUAGUGUAGCGGUGAAAUGCAUAGAUAUUACUCAGAACACCGAUAGCGAAGGCAGCAUGCUAAGGUAAUACUGACGCUGAGGCACGAAAGCGUGGGUAU